rnacentral:rRNA from 1 species
AUUGAACGCUGGCGGCAGGCUUAACACAUGCAAGUCGAGCGGAGAGAGGUAGCUUGCUACUGAUCUUAGCGGCGGACGGGUGAGUAAUGCUUAGGAAUCUGCCUAUUAGUGGGGGACAACAUUUCGAAAGGAAUGCUAAUACCGCAUACGUCCUACGGGAGAAAGCAGGGGAUCUUCGGACCUUGCGCUAAUAGAUGAGCCUAAGUCGGAUUAGCUAGUUGGUGGGGUAAAGGCCUACCAAGGCGACGAUCUGUAGCGGGGCUGAGAGGAUGAUCGGCCACACUGGGACUGGGACACGGCCCAGACUCCUACGGGAGGCAGCAGUGGGGAAUAUUGGACAAUGGGCGGAAGCCUGAUCCAGCCAUGCCGCGUGUGUGAAGAAGGCCUUAUGGUUGUAAAGCACUUUAAGCGAGGAGGAGGCUACUUGGAUUAAUACUCUAGGAUAGUGGACGUUACUCGCAGAAUAAGCACCGGCUAACUCUGUGCCAGCCGCCGCAGUAACAC